rnacentral:lncRNA from 1 species
UAGGCCAAACAUCAUAAUAAAUCUCAGUUAAAAUUUUACCCCCAAGGCUCUCGAAGAGAGUCUGCUAAAAUAGCUAAUGCUUCUCAAUCAGUAAUUUCUAUGUAAUUAGCCAAUUCAGCUCUUUUUAUAUUAAAGAGGUAUACAAGUUUAGGAACGGAAACAUCAGGGCCAGUCUUAAAUUUCUUGAACUCCCUAAAUUUUUUUCUCUUUCCCUUUGUUCAGCCCUUCGAUCGCUUAACUGGUUUUGUCUUGCCCUUGAGACAUACCUGAUGACUUCAGACUCCGAGUCUGAAUCAUUAUAGAAAUAAGUCAUGCGACGAUCUACCUUUCUACGUUGUCCCCUUCCUUGACUUCGAGAACUCCCACUUG